rnacentral:rRNA from 1 species
GACGUAGGGGGCCAGCGUUGUUCGGAAUUCCUGGGUGUAAAGGGUUCGUAGGCGGUGCGGCAAGUCGGGAGUGAAAUCUCUGGGCUUAACCCAGAGGCUGCUUCCGAAACUGCUGUGCUUGAGUGUGGGAGAGGCGCGUGGAAUUGCAGGUGUAGCGGUGAAAUGCGUAGAUAUCUGCAGGAACACCCGUGGCGAAAGCGGCGCGCUGGACCACUACUGACGCUGAGGAACGAAAGCUAGGGGAGCAAACAGG